rnacentral:rRNA from 1 species
UACGAAGGGGGCGAGCGUUGUUCGGAUUUACUGGGCGUAAAGGGCGCGCAGGCGGCAGACCAAGUCAGGCGUGAAAGCCCCGGGCUCAACCUGGGAACUGCGUUUGGGACUGGUUUGCUAGAGAUCGGGAGAGGAGAGUGGAAUUCCCAGUGUAGAGGUGAAAUUCGUAGAUAUUGGGAAGAACACCGGUGGCGAAGGCGGCUCUCUGGACCGACACUGACGCUGAGGCGCGAAAGCGUGGGGAGCAAACAGG